AUUUUAAAGUGGUACGCGCGGUUAAUGAUUGGAAAGGGCAUAGAAAAAGCAGUUUUCUCUGCUUCUGAUAAUUAGCAAAUCGGAUAAUUAGACAAAUCAAAUACAUCGCAUGCAAUAAAUAUUCUUAAUAAAUCAAAUACGAUCUAUUGAUGCAACUGAUUGGUCUCUUAAAUUGCGUAAUUUAAGUAUAGUCGCAUAGCCUGAAUUUAAAAGCAUGACAAAAUGAUAAACAGUUGAAUGUGAGACGUUCAAACAGCGACAAUCGUCAAUAAUGAGUGACGAAGAGAAAGAAAGCGUUUUGAUAGACGUCAGAAUGGACGUCAUAGUACAGCCAAAAGGAGAGUAGGAGAAUGUUAAGCACCGUUAAUCGCCUUGGUCACGUUCGUUUUAAGUCACGUUUCCGACUUGUUCACGCAUAUGUUCGCGGAAGAUCGUCGGUCAUACUUCCUGCCUUUAAACGUGAGGAAAAAACACAAUUGAAGGGUUAACCUGCAAACCAACCCCGCGAACUUUUCUGAGGAGAGAGGAUUCUAUAAAGAUAACUUUGAUGCCAUUGAGCAUUAAUAUCUGGAUAGUUUGAAACUGUUUCAAGACUGAUAAAGUAUCGGCGCGCAGUUCAUAACGUAUCAGUCGGAGAUAUCAAAUUCACAGAAAAAUUAUUAUUCAGCACCAAGAUCCACUGCAAUCCGCUGUACAAUCUCAUCUUUAUCUUUAUGUCUAACUAUUUCUAAUAUUUAUAACAGCUGAAUUAAAUCAGUAUUCCGGUUUUGAUAGCACUAUGUUCCUUGAGAACAUCACACUCGUGCAGAACUUCACAUUCUAUUACAAAAUAAGGUAUUACGUUAUGUAGUGUAUCAACAAACAAUCAGCACAUAUCCAUUUCUUUUGCUGAAAGUGCACUUUGGCACACUUUUCUACAAUUUUUGCAUAUUUAAUGUGUACCUUAAAUAAUCAUUAAAUUAUAUUAUUUUAGUUACCUGUUUUUGUUCAAAACUAGAUAAUGCGUGAAUCUAUAUGUAAUGAAUAAACGUUUAUCAUUACUUUAUAUCAAUUUCUAAGACAAAGAUAAAGAGUUUCCUUUUUUCUCUUUUUAGUUUCUCGGAUUUUAUGUGAGAGUUAAUGUUUGUUCCACAAGAAUCAAUUUUCUUCGUAUAGCUUUUAAUAAAAU